GUGGAUGAGCAGUCUGAGCACACUGCCAGCCCUGCCAGGAGCUGUGCUGUGCUUCCCAUUAAUGGCCACGGCUACAGCAAGCGCUGCGCUUCCAUGCACUGCACGGAGAAGGGGAUAUUGCACAACCCUGGGCCGUCAUGCUCUACAAAUAGGGGAACUUUGAUCUGUCCGUGCAUGCUAAGGGCCUUUCUGGCCCUGACUACAAACGCUUCCAGUUGCUGCUGAUUUCACACCAAUUGCAGAACCAGCAGUCAUGGGCUGAGCUGCAGAGAGCAGACCUGGUGCUUAAAUGAUUCCAGCCCUGGGGAUAAUUUAUGCCACACAAGCAGAAGUGAAUCGGACUUAAAACCUGAUUUGACUUAAACAGCACUGAUGGGCAGCGUGGAGCCUGAGCCAGGCCUGCAGACCCCACCUGUUCCUUGUCUCUACAUGAUGUGGAUCAGUGCAGAGCUGUGAGGGUCCCGGUGGAUUUCACCCAUCUCUCUUCAGAUGGAACACAAAGUUUGGAUGCUUCCCCAUAUGCUGAGUGCACCGUUGAGUUCUUUAAGUGAUGCUUUGUUUAUAGAACUGCAAUUACUCCAUAUCUGCCUUUGUUUGGAGAUGAAUCCUCAUCCCUCCUCGCUAAUGGCUUCUUCUGAUCUCAUCCGAAGUGGAGGAUUUCCUGAGAUGCUGAAAAUAUGACUCACUGAGCCUUUAUAGCUUCGCCAGAGGUUUAAUGGCUUCGGCAGCAGAAUGGUGCGUGGGGCUGUGUCUGAAACUGAUGUACCCAAUGAUGGCUGAUGCUGUGCACUCUGCUUCACACUUAUGUACAUAGGAGCUAAGGGAGGUCUGGACUGGGUCUGUAAAUGCUGUAGGGUGAUGACCCCAGCUGCCAUCACUUCCCAUUCCGACCCUCACUGCUCCUGAAAAAGCACCAUGAAAAUACAGCCUGGUGCACCUCACAUCUGGGAGAGUGAAAUUUCAUCUCUCCGUAACAGUUCUCACAUGAAAAGCCCAUCAGACACAUCUGCUCCCUGCAUUCAUAACUCACACCAGCGCACGUUGACAGAGAUACGGGUUUUUCCCUAAUUAAUUCUUUCUGCCUCAAAAUAUGUUUCCCUCAUCUGACUGUGAGUCGAUCCUCUCGGCCAGCACCAGGAGCAUCCCACGGCCAGCACCAGGAGCAUCCCACAGCCAGCACCAGGAGCAUCCCAUGGCCAGCACCAGGAGCAUCCCACAGCCAGCACCAGCAGCAUCCCAUGGCCAGCACCAGCAGCAUCCCAUGGCCAGCACCAGCAGCAUCCCAGUGCUGGCACCCAGGGGUGGACCACAGGAGCAGGCACCACGCAUUGGCUGGGAAACAUCCAGAGAAAAGAACUGAGAGUGAGCAGGAGCCUAAAAACAUGAGCAGCACUGAGGCUGCAGGAGGACAUGCUGUGUGGGGACACGCAGACUACCUUGGAGAAUAUAAUCAUGGGCAAAAAAAGGGGGGAAAGAUGCAAAAUGUGAAACCAAACCCAACAAAUGUCUCUGUGGCCCCACUGGCCUGGUUGGGGCUCACAGUGCUGCGGCUCUUUGGAGAUGCCACACGUCUCCUCCAACCCCAUCCCAAUUAACUGCCUCCUAAUGACUUUCUGAAGCUGGAGGAUUUCCUUAAUUAUACCACCACGUGUUAGACUGUAAUCAAGAAAUCAAUCCUCACCACCGCCCGGAGCGGGGCCUGUGCUCGGCAGCACAGCAGCUGCAGCCACCUCCACAUAGACCCCGGGUUUGCAGGGAUGCAGCAGCACACGGACAGGGGCUCACAGAAAGGGUUUUCCUCUCCAGGGUUUCAGAGAGGUGGGCAGCAUGGAUCAGGUCCCAGGGAUCAGAUGGACACUGGGAGCACCGGCACCUGCAAGAGACGGCUCAGAAAGGUGUUACAGCACAUGCAGGAUG
ensembl:lncRNA